rnacentral:rRNA from 1 species
GACGAACGCUGGCGGCGUGCCUAAUACAUGCAAGUCGAACGAACCGCGACUAAGUGCUUGCACUAAGUCAAGGUGAGUGGCAAACGGGUGAGUAACACGUGGGUAACCUACCUCAUAGUGGGGGAUAACAGUCGGAAACGACUGCUAAUACCGCAUAGGACAUAGGAUCACAUGAUCCAGUGAGGAAAGGUGGCGCAAGCUAUCGCUAAGAGAUGGACCCGCGGUGCAUUAGCUAGUUGGUAGGGUAAAGGCCUACCAAGGCGAUGAUGCAUAGCCGACCUGAGAGGGUGAUCGGCCACAUUGGGACUGAGACACGGCCCAAACUCCUACGGGAGGCAGCAGUAGGGAAUCUUCCGCAAUGGACGCAAGUCUGACGGAGCAACGCCGCGUGAGUGAAGAAGGUCUUCGGAUCGUAAAGCUCUGUUGUUAGAGAAGAACAGCGCGUAGAGUAACUGCUAUGCGUGUGACGGUAUCUAACCAGAAAGCCACGGCUAACUACGUG